GGCCUUUUGUUUUAUAUAUAAGGUUUGACCUGCCCACUGAUUUAUUGAAUGGCCGCAGUAAUUUGACUGUGCAAAGGUAGCAUAAUCAUUAGUUUUUUAAUUAAAAGCUUGUAUGAAUGGUUGGACGAGGUAAGAUCUGUCUCUAGAUAAUUUAAGUUAGAAUUUAAUUUUUAAGUUAAAAAGCUUAAAUAAUAAUAAAAGACGAGAAGACCCUAUAGAUCUUUAUAUUAAUAUAAUUAAUUUUAUUUAAGAUUUUUUAAUUUUUUAUUUGUAUUAAUAUUUUAUUGGGGUAAUAGAAAGAUUUAAUUAAUUCUUUUUUUUUAUUAUAUAAAUUAAUAUUUAUAUGAUCCAAAAAUUUUGAUUAUAAGAUUAAGUUACCUUAGGGAUAACAGCGUAAUUUUUUUUAAGAGUUCUUAUCGAUAAAAAAGUUUGCGACCUCGAUGUUGGAUUAAAAAUUAUCUUAGGUGUAGAAGUUUAAGAUUUUGGUCUGUUCGACCAUUAAAUUUUU
rnacentral:rRNA from 1 species